rnacentral:lncRNA from 1 species
GGUGGAGGGGGAUUCAGACGCCGCGUCUGGUGUGUCCCUUUCUCCUUCUCGACCUUCCUCAGUCUGCGGCUCUUUUCUCCACCGCGCGCCCGCCUCAGCCGUUCAGCCCUGAGCUGGCGGGUGGACGGGCAUGGAUCCAGGCGGUGGGAGCAGUCUGCGAAGUCAGGGUAGGAAGGCUACACAAAGGAGGCGACAUCCCAGCCCGGUCCUCAGGAAUAAGCGGGCGUGCCCGCGUGGUGUGGACGGUGAGGGGACACUGUAUUAAAUGCCUUAUCUGCAUUAUCAUUGAAUCUUCAUAGCAAUCGAUUGUGAUGGGUACUGGUCAUCUCCCCGGGUUGUAGAUGAGGAAACUGAGGCCUCAGUAACUUUGCUUUAGUCAGUAAAUGAUAAGAGUCAGCAAAUGAAUUCCCAAGCGUAGACUCGGCCGUACCGCUGCUCUACCUUGCUAAUAACGACCUACCUGUAAGCGACAUUUUUGACAAAAUGUCCUUUAAACAUCUUUUGUGCUCAGCUCUGUAUUCGUGGGCCCUCCAAAGGGGGUACAGGCAGGUAGUAGCCUCCGCCCCUACCUUAUAGGUUGUAUACAUCUGAACCGGUCGACUAAAGAUGCAAAGCCAAGUGCUCCAGUGAGUGUGGUACAGGUUGUUGAGAUGAAGGAGAGAUGGCAAUCGGCUGAAGUUACUGAAUACGUCAGGAAGGAGGCUGGUUUCAGCUGGCUGUGAUUGGGAGGAUCAAUGCGAGAACAUUCCGAGUCGGAAACAGCCAAGGCAAAGACUCACAGGAUUCUGCCCUGCCCCUCCGCUCUGCAUCUGACAGCUGGGAUCUCGGGAUCCUGUUUUCCUAAGCUUGCUGGAAUUCCUGCAGUCCUCAUGUGAACUCCCCUGGCCUCAUCACCAUCCUGUCUUACAGCUGUUCUGACUAAGGAAUCCCAGUUUAGACAACUGAGUAUCAAGUUCUCUCCCUAAGGAAUUAUCUGAUCACAGUGGC